GGCGUGACAGCAGGUACUGAGGCAGCAACCAAGUGAAUUUGCUGUGAUGUACAGAGAUGGAGAUGAUACAACAAUAAACGGCAAAAAGAGCUAUCAAGUGAUGAGUUGAGGUCGUCACCUGACUGUUCUCCUUUGCUUUACAUCGCUGCUGCAGCAGUCAGACGGGGUGAGCUGCGUGAGAAGAGUACACUGAGUGACUAGAUCACAUGUGACAGAAAUGCAGUGA